rnacentral:lncRNA from 1 species
GGAAACCAAGUGGAAAUUAACACCUACCCUUGCGUAAAGCAGCAAUUACGAGAACCCUACGUCGAUGGAGGAACGUUACUCUCGAGAACUUCACCUAUCACAGACUUAGGCAAAUAAGGAAUUCAAUCCAAAUGAAAAAAAAGAAAAAUCGACCAUUAUCAAACUCAAGCAAAAACAAUUGGAUAAAGAACACUUACACAGUUUAAUUGAAAAUUAACGACACAACGAAACAAAAUGCAACAGAUACGAACUGAUUCUUAACUAAUUAAUAUAACCAAAAAGAAAAGAAAUAAUUU